rnacentral:rRNA from 1 species
UGGCGGACGGGUGAGUAAUGUCUGGGAAACUGCCUGAUGGAGGGGGAUAACUACUGGAAACGGUAGCUAAUACCGCAUAACGUCGCAAGACCAAAGAGGGGGACCCUCGGGCCUCUUGCCAUCGGAUGUGCCCAGAUGGGAUUAGCUAGUAGGUGGGGUAACGGCUCACCUAGGCGACGAUCCCUAGCUGGUCUGAGAGGAUGACCAGCCACACUGGAACUGAGACACGGUCCAGACUCCUACGGGAGGCAGCAUG